rnacentral:ncRNA from 1 species
AUAGAUGUUUGAUAGUUUUGUCGUAUAAUUGGCUAAAUAUGGUAGCCAGAGUUUCUACCACACCACCGUAAAUUGUGUGACUACGAUGACCAACUUUUCUUUU